UACGUAGGGGGCAAGCGUUGUCCGGAAUCAUUGGGCGUAAAGCGCGCGUAGGCGGUCCGGUAAGUCCGCUGUGAAAGUCGGGGGCUUAACCCUCGGAUGCCGGUGGAUACUGUCGGGCUUGAGUACGGAAGAGGCGAGUGGAAUUCCUGGUGUAGCGGUGAAAUGCGCAGAUAUCAGGAGGAACACCGGUGGCGAAGGCUGCCCUCUGGACGGUGACUGACGCUGAGACGCGAAAGCGUGGGGAGCAAACAGG
rnacentral:rRNA from 1 species